rnacentral:rRNA from 1 species
AGUGAACGCUGGCGGUGGGCCUAACACAUGCAAGUCGAACGGCAGCACAGUAAGAGCUUGCUCUUACGGGUGGCGAGUGGCGGACGGGUGAGGAAUACAUCGGAAUCUACUUUUUCGUGGGGGAUAACGUAGGGAAACUUACGCUAAUACCGCAUACGACCUACGGGUGAAAGCAGGGGAUCUUCGGACCUUGCGCGAUUGAAUGAGCGGAUGUCGGAUUAGCUAGUUGGCGGGGUAAAGGCCCACCAAGGCGACGAUCCGUAGCUGGUCUGAGAGGAUGAUCAGCCACACUGGAACUGAGACACGGUCCAGACUCCUACGGGAGGCAGCAGUGGGGAAUAUUGGACAAUGGGCGCAAGCCUGAUCCAGCCAUACCGCGUGGGUGAAGAAGGCCUUCGGGUUGUAAAGCCCUUUUGUUGGGAAAGAAAAGCAGCAGGUUAAUACCCCGCUGUUCUGACGGUACCCAAAGAAUAAGCACCGGCUAACUUCGUG